UCCCAUAUCACAUCGCUCGUUAUGUGUGUUAUGUUUGGGUAUUAUUUUUUGACUUUAUGCAUGCGUUAUAGAAUUUAUUUAGAAUAUUUUGAUUUCUGUGUUUGGAUGUGGGUUUUAUGUGUGGCUUUUUAUUUGUCAUUUAUUUGAUUGUUUGUCAGAAGUAUUUGAUUUGCUUUGAAGUGUGUUUUUCCAUGGGAUGUUAUUUUGAUUUUCUCGUCUUUUCAUCUGAUCUCGGUGUCUUGUCCCACCAUUAAUAAGCAUAUAAGUGGAUUUUUCAGGAUUCUCGGGAGCAGGAGAAGUGUGUGAGGAAAGUCUUCUUAGAUAAGUUUUCUUCGUAUUCCCUGUUCUUUCAUAUAUCGCAUUGUUCAAUAUAUCUGUUAUGUUUUGGUAUGAUUUGUUGACAUGAUCUAUGCAUUAUUGAAUUCAGUUCGAAUAUGUUCAUUAUGUUUUGGUUUGUGCGCUUUACGUUUCAUUUUUUAUUUCUCAUUUCUUUCUUUGUGGGUGAGAAUAGUGUAAUUUCCAUUUCUGGUCUUUUCAUGUGAUCUCGGCUUCUUUGGCAAGCAUUUCUAAGCAUAUCACUGGAUUUUUCAGGUUUCUCGGAAGCAAGAGAAGUUUAUGAGGAAGUACUUCUUAUCUAAGUUUACUUCGUAUUCCCUUUUGUCUGCUAUAUCGCAAUUUUCAUUAUCUCUGUUAUGUGUUGGUAUUAUUUGCUGAUUUGUGUUAUUUUUUGUGCGCAUUCGUGUUUUGUUUUUUGUUUGUGAUUUCUUUGAUUUUGGGUGAGAAGAACUGGAUUUCCUUUUGGUAGCAUUUUUCCGUGGAAUGUUAUUUUCCUUUUCUCGUCUUUUCAUUUAAUCUCGGUUUCUUAGCCCACAAUUUAUAACCGUAUAACUUCAUUUUUUCAGGUUAUUCUGGAGCAGGUGAAGUGUAUGAAGAAAUACUUUUUUGGAUUCUCGGGAGCAGGAGAAGUGUGUGAGGAAAGUCUUCUUAGAUAAGUUUUCUUCGUAUUCCCUGUUCUUUCAUAUAUGGCAUUGUUCAAUAUAUCUGUUAUGUUUUGGUAUGAUUUGUUGACAUGAUCUAUGCAAUAUUUAAUUCUGUUCGAAUAUGUUCAUUAUGUUUUGGUUUGUGUGCUUUAUGUUUCAUUUUUUAUUUCUCAUUUCUUUCUUUGUGGGUGAGAAUAGUGUAAUUUCCAUUUCUGGUCUUUUCAUGUGAUCUCGGCUUCUUUGGCAAGCAUUUCUAAGCAUAUCACUGGAUUUUUCAGGUUUCUCGGAAGCAAGAGAAGUUUAUGAGGAAGUACUUCUUAUCUAAGUUUACUUCGUAUUCCUUUUUGUCUGCUAUAUCGCAAUUUCCAUUAUCUCUGUUAUGUGUUGGUAUUAUUUGCUGAUUUGUGUUAUUUUUUGUGCGCAUUUGUGUUUUGUUUUUUGUUUGUGAUUUCUUUGAUUUUGGGUGAGAAGAACUGGAUUUCCUUUUGGUAGCAUUUUUCCGUGGAAUGUUAUUUUCCUUUUCUCGUCUUUUCAUUUAAUCUCGGUUUCUUAGCCCACAAUUUAUAACCGUAUAACUUCAUUUUUUCAGGUUAUUCUGGAGCAGGUGAAGUGUAUGAAGAAAUACUUUUUUGGAUUCUCGGGAGCAGGAGAAGUGUGUGAGGAAAGUCUUCUUAGAUAAGUUUUCUUCGUAUUCCCUGUUCUUUCAUAUAUCGCAUUGUUCAAUAUAUCUGUUAUGUUUGGGUAUGAUUUGUUGACUUGAUCUAUGCAUUAUUGAAUUCAUUUCGAAUAUGUUCAUUAUGUUUUGGUUUGUGCGCUUUACGUUUCAUUUUUUAUUUCUCAUUUCUUUCUUUGUGGGUGAGAAUAGUGUAAUUUCCAUUUCUGGUCUUUUCAUGUGAUCUCGGCUUCUUUGGCAAGCAUUUCUAAGCAUAUCACUGGAUUUUUCAGGUUUCUCGGAAGCAAGAGCAGUUUAUGAGGAAGUACUUCUUAUCUAAGUUUACUUCAUAUUCCUUUUUGUCUGCUAUUUCGCAAUUUUCAUUAUCUCUGUUAUGUGUUGGUAUUAUUUGUUGAUUUGUGUUAUUUUUUGUGCGCAUUUGUGUUUUGUUUUUUGUUUGUGAUUUCUUUGA